rnacentral:snoRNA from 1 species
UGAACAUUAGCAGGGCUUUUAAGAAUAUAGUUUCUGAUUGGCUGUGGAUUUGACCAAACAACAAAAACUUCCCACUAGGUUUUAUCUUUGCUACCUUGCUAGCAUUAAGCCGAUUCGGAACAUUU